UACAGAGGGUGCAAGCGUUGUUCGGAAUUAUUGGGCGUAAAGGGCGCGUAGGCGGUGCGGUAAGUCUGUAGUGAAAUCUCUGGGCUCAACUCAGAGUCUGCUGCAGAAACUGCCGUGCUUGAGUGUGGGAGAGGUGAGUGGAAUUCCCGGUGUAGCGGUGAAAUGCGUAGAUAUGUGGAGGAAUACCCGUGGCGAAAGCGGCUCUCUGGCCUAUAACUGACGCUGAGGCGCGAAAGCGUGGGGAGCAAACAGG
rnacentral:rRNA from 1 species